rnacentral:lncRNA from 1 species
GUGGUGACCUGGGAAUCAAUGUGUGAGGUGGUGCUAUGUAGCAGGAACCCCUCUUGCUUUGCAAAUAGUUUUUUGUUUGUUUUCCUUUUUGCCCAAUAGAGCCCUGCUCUACUGACCCUUCAAUGUGCCCGUGUGCCUAAAUAUUCCUGGUCGUGUGAAAAGAACCCAGGUAUUAGCUGAACUAAGGAGCACAAUUCUGCAACAUUUUGGCACCCAAACACGGGGCUUGAGAAAUGAAUGCAAUUGGAGAAACUGGUUGUUUUACCAGGCGUUGAUUGGAAAUGUGUGCUUCCCUUUAAGCAGUCAAGCUCAACUUGCAGAACUGAUGGGAACCCCUUGGGAAAACUGGCCUCAAAUGUUUGUCUACACAGUCCACAUACAGGGUUCUUAACCUGCGACUGACCCUGCUUGUGCCUGUGAACCAACCAACAAUCUCUGGCUGCAGCUCAGAAAGGACAAAAGAGAAUGGAUGGAGUCUUGUUCUGUGGUCCAGGCUAGAGGGCAGUGGCAUGAUCUCGGCUCACUACAAGCUCUGCCUCCCGGGUUCACGCCAUUCUCCUGCCUCAGCCUCCUGAGUAGCUGGGACUACAGGCGCCCGCCACCACGCCUGGCUAAUUUUUUGUAUAUUUACUAGAGAUGGCUAGUGUUAGCCAAGAUGGUCUCGAUCUCCUGACCUCGUGAUCUGCCCACCUCAGCCUGCCAAAGUGCUGGGAUUACUGGCGUGAGCCACCGUGCCUGGCCAGCAUCCUCUAAUUAUUAUUCAUAGUUUGUGAAUUUAGGCCUACGUGAAUAAUAAUAUAAUAUUUACUAUGAUGUUACUAUCUACCAACCUUAUUUUUCUUUUCUAUAAAAUAGGAGCCAAAAUAAUAUUUAUGUCAUACCUUAUGAAGUUAAAAUAAAAUAUAACGAAUGAGGGGCUUAACAA